rnacentral:rRNA from 1 species
UAAGACGUAGGUGGCGAACGUUAUCCGGAAUUAUUGGGCGUAAAGGGUGCGUAGGCGGCAUAAUAAGUUAUUGGCGGGAAAUCGAGGCUCAACCUCGUGGAAACUGAUAAUACUGUUUUGCUUGAGUACAGGAGAGGUUAACGGAACUCCAUGUGGAGCGGUAAAAUGUGUAGAUAUAUGGAAGAACAUCAAUAACGGCGAAGGCAGUUAACUAUUCUGUCACUGACGUUGAGGCACGAAAGCGUGGGGAGCAAAAAGGAUUAGAUACCCUUGUAGUCCACGCCCUAAACGAUGAGUACUAGAUAUUGGGAACUUGAUUCUCAGUGUCGCUAGUUAACACAGUAAGUACUCCGCCUGGGUAGUACGCUCGCAAGAGUG